rnacentral:ncRNA from 1 species
AUAGUUUUUGGGCUCUGGGGAAACUACGACCGCAAGGCUGAAACUUGAAGGAAUUGACGGAAGGGCACACCAGGGGUGGAGCCUGUGGCUUAAUUGAAUCAACACGGGGAAACUUACCAGGACCAGAUGUUUUUUAUGACUGACAGGCUUCGGGUCUUUCAGGAUAUUGUUUUUGGUGGUGCAUGGCCGUUGGUGGUGCGUGGGUUGACCUGUCUAGCGUUGAUUCAGCUAACGAGCGAGAUUAUCGCCAAUUAUUUACUUUGCCGAAGUCCUUCGGUUAAAGUUCUAAUUGGGACUCCCUGCGAUUUUAGCAGGUGGAAGAGGGUAGCAAUAACAGGUCCGUGAUGCCCUUUAGAUGCUCUGGGCUGCACGCGUGCUACAAUGUUAGGAUCAAUAGGACUGCGAGCCUGAGAGGGUGCGCUACUCUUAUAAUCCCUAACGUAGUUGGGAUUGACGUUUGUAAUCAGCGUCAUGAACCAGGAAUCCCUUGUAAAUGUGUGUCAACAACGCACGUUGAAUACGUCCCUGCCCUUUGUACACACCGCCCGUCGCUCCUACCGAUUGGAUGACUCGGUGAAAUCACCGGAUGCUUACGAGCAGAAAGUGAUUAAAUCACGUUAUCUAGAGGAAGGAGAAGUCGUAACAAGGUAACGGUAGGUGAACCUGCCGUUGGAUCAGUU